AGCAGUAGCCGCGGUAAUACGGAGGGGGCUAGCGUUGUUCGGAAUUACUGGGCGUAAAGCGCACGUAGGCGGCUUGGUAAGUUAGAGGUGAAAGCCUGGAGCUCAACUCCAGAAUUGCCUUUAAGACUGCCGAGCUAGCAGGUGAGAGAGGUAAGAGGAAUUCCGAGUGUAGAGGUGAAAUUCGUAGAUAUUCGGAAGAACACCAGUGGCGAAGGCGGCCCGCUGGACAUGUAUUGACGCUGAGGUGCGAAAGCGUGGGGAGCAAACAGGAUUAGAUACCCCUGUAGUCCCUGUCUCUUAUAC
rnacentral:rRNA from 1 species